rnacentral:sRNA from 1 species
GCGGCAGCCCCUCUGCCUGCUCCUGCCAUGGUGCCGUGGCCCUGCUGGGCGGAUGGAGCAGGAUCCCAAGCCGCCCCGUCUGCGGCUCUGGGCCCUGCUCCCCUGGCUGCCCAGGAAGCAGCGGCCCAGGAUCAGCCAGACCUCUCUUCCUGUCCCUGGCCCUGGCUCUGGCCCCCAGCGGGACUCGGAUGAGGGCGUCCUCAAGGAGAUCUCCAUCACGCACCACGUCAAGGCUGGCUCUGAGAAGGCUGAUCCAUCCCAUUUCGAGCUCCUCAAGGUUCUGGGCCAGGGAUCCUUUGGCAAAGUCUUCCUGGUGCGGAAAGUCACCCGGCCUGACAGUGGGCACCUGUAUGCUAUGAAGGUGCUGAAGAAGGCGACGCUGAAAGUACGUGACCGCGUCCGGACCAAGAUGGAGAGAGACAUCCUGGCUGAUGUAAAUCACCCAUUCGUGGUGAAGCUGCACUAUGGUAAAGCUGCAGGCCCUGCCUGAGCUCCUACCCCACCCAUCCUUCGCCCUUGCCUGUGGUCUGUACGCUGUCCCACCGCCUGCCUGGCAGGCCAAGGGAGCCAGGCUG